GACAAGAGAUGCUGGGAGAUGGCCCAGAUGACCUCCGAGUGUCUUUUCUGCUGCUUAAAUCCCUGUUCGUUUUUGCAGAGGAAGCCGUGUUUUUGGGAUCAUAAGCAACUGGCACUUGAAUUUCCCUCUCACAGUCUGCUUCUGGGACAGAGGCUCUGGCUACUCUUGACCACUGGUCGAGGAAAGGACGUGAUUGGAUCUUGGGAGCGGUUUCUUCCAUGCUGUUCUCACGAUAGUGAGUGAAUUCCCUCGAGAUCUGGUGGUUUUAUAAACGGUAGUUUCUCCUGCGCUGACACACACACUUCCUGCUGCAGCCUCGUGAAGAAGGCGCCUGCCUCCUUGACAUCUUCCACCAUGAUUGCACGUUUCCUCAGGCCUCCUAGCCAUGCUUC